CGCAGCUUUAUGGCCCGGCUGGCCGCAGC
rnacentral:sRNA from 1 species